AUACGGAGGGUCCAAGCGUUAUCCGGAAUCAUUGGGUUUAAAGGGUUCGUAGGCGGGUCAAUAAGUCAGAGGUGAAAUCUUGCAGCUUAACUGUAAAAUUGCCUUUGAUACUGUUGACCUUGAAUUACUGUGAAGUGGUUAGAAUAUGUAGUGUAGCGGUGAAAUGCUUAGAGAUUACAUAGAAUACCGAUUGCGAAGGCAGAUCACUAACAGUAGAUUGACGCUGAUGAACGAAGCGUGGGUAGCGAACGGGAUUAGAAACCCUAGUAGUCC
rnacentral:rRNA from 1 species